AGCUGUUGAUGACUUUACUUUUCUGACACCUCGUAUGAGCUGCAAUAGCAGCAUGUGAUUAGAAAUAUCUGUCUGAGGCUC
ensembl:snoRNA